rnacentral:rRNA from 1 species
ACAUCCAGAGAAUUUAGCAGAGAUGCUUUAGUGCCUUCGAGAACUCUGAGACAGGUGCUGCAUGGCUGUCGUCAGCUCGUGUUGUGAAAUGUUGGGUUAAGUCCGCAACGAGCGCAACCCUUAUCCUUUGUUGCCAGCACGUAAUGGUGGGAACUCAAAGGAGACUGCCGGUGAUAAACCGGAGGAAGGUGGGGAUGACGUCAAGUCAUCAUGGCCCUUACGAGUAGGGCUACACACGUGCUACAAUGGCGUAUACAAAGAGAAGCGACCUCGCGAGAGCAAGCGGACCUCAUAAAGUGCGUCGUAGUCCGGAUUGGAGUCUGCAACUCGACUCCAUGAAGUCGGAAUCGCUAGUAAUCGUAAAUCAGAAUGUUACGGUGAAUACGUUCCCGGGCCUUGUACACACCGCCCGUCACACCAUGGGAGUGGGUUGCAAAAGAAGUAGAUAGCUUAACCUUCGGGAGGGCGUUUACCACUUUGUGAUUCAUGACUGGGGUGAAGUCGUAACAAGGUAAGCGUAGUGCU